rnacentral:rRNA from 1 species
CAGUAGCCGCGGGAAUACGGAGGGAGCUAGCGUUGUUCGGAAUUACUGGGCGUAAAGCGUGCGCAGGCGGUUGUGUAAGACAGGUGUGAAAUCCCCGGGCUUAACCUGGGAACUGCGCUUGUGACUGCACAGCUAGAGUAUGGCAGAGGGGGGUGGAAUUCCACGUGUAGCAGUGAAAUGCGUAGAGAUGUGGAGGAACACCGAUGGCGAAGGCAGCCCCCUGGGCCAAUACUGACGCUCAUGCACGAAAGCGUGGGGAGCAAACAGGAUUAGAUACCCGGGUAGUCCCUGUCUCUUAUAC